UGAAAAUCUUCCAGGAAGGGAUUCAAAAUCAUGCGAAAAUUGCAAAAAUAUGAAAAACCUGCAUUCGGAAAUACAGGAACUUAAAGGUAUUGUGGAAGGUCAAAAUAAAAUUAUUAUGCGGACGUUUGCGGAACAUAAUAUAUUACUAAAGCGGCUUAUAUACAGGAAUCUAUUUCUGAUGAUGUGCUUAAAUAUUUUCCUUUGAAGUCAUUGGAGGAUUUGAAAGAAAUCGACGAAAAAAUAUGCGGAGCAAGCAGACCAAUUUUUAUCAAAGCGCUGAAGGAGCUAACGAAGGGAAAGUUAACAAAAAAAAUUGAAUAAUGUAAUCAGCACUGACGUUAUCAUGCCAAAAA